CUGCAUCUGAAAAGAAAGUUUUGAUUAUGUCAAGAAAGAUUGGUAAAAACAUGCAUGUAACAUAACCACUCAAAAAAAUAAAAGGGGAAAAGGAAACUCUCUCACUGAGAAGCAGAACUCCAGCAACGACUCACGAAGCCAGCUCCACCCCUCAUGUUGGCAUCCGGAAUACCAUUGUUAAGAUUGAUUGUGAGAAAGCCAAAAGGUGAAGGCUUCCAAGUGAAAUUUAUCACCCU
rnacentral:lncRNA from 1 species